rnacentral:rRNA from 1 species
GACAGAGGUGCCGAGCGUUAGGCGGAAUCACUGGGCUUAAAGCGUGUGUAGGCGGGCGGGCAAGUACCUUGUGAAAUCCCACGGCUCAACCGUGGAACUGCUGGGUAUACUGCCUGUCUUGAGCCAGCCAGGGGCAGUCGGAACAGACGGUGGAGCGGUGAAAUGCGUAGAUAUCGCUUGGAACGCCAAAGGUGAAAACAGGUUGCUGGGAAUGUGCCGACGCUGAGACACGAAAGCCAGGGGAGCAAACGGG